GUAAGCAAUAACACACGGACAACAGCUUUACAAGACUCUCAAAUGAGUGUAUUCCAGAGCUGGCUUUUAUACAUAGUUUGCUUACAUUAGCCAUGGUAUAUGCAAAUACAGUACAGACUAUAAGAUUUAUUACUUCCUUAUAUUACGUUAUUCUGACAAUGGAAAGAUAAGCUUUUGCAUACGUCUGGAAAAGAAUAUCCUUAAAAUCGGAAUGGGCAAGACAUCCUGAAAUUUAGCAUUGUCUUACAUCCUAUAGAAGAAAUACCUUAGUCUGUCACAGUCAGCAUAUUAUGUCGUACAUUGACUUUUAAGUAUUCAAUAUUCCUUCAGUCAGCAAUAAUCAUGUUAUAAACCUUAUAAAAGCAUAAAAUACAUAUAAACAAGUUAACUAUUUAAUAUUCUUACAUUCCCCUCUUUGAGCAAUAAAACAAUUGCUCAUCUUAUCGAUAAAAUCUUACCAGGACAGAGAAACUUCCACAUGGUAUUUUCAGGGGUGCUAGUCACUCCCUGCGGGACUUUCAUUAAUUUCUUCACCUCGAUUCCCAUGUGGUAAUUCCUAAGGCCCAGUUUAAAGAUGGGUUGAUACUCUCCAGUGGCAGAGAGGAGAAUUUCGAAUUGUUUCUGUUCUGCAUUAUGGAUUCAUUUCUGUACUCUCUUCCUCAAUGUACAAGUAAGGUGACAGUUAUAUAAAAUCAUACACAAUAAAAUCAGGACUAUAAUAACAAAAGGAUAGAAGAAUGAUUUCAUUAUCUGAGAUCCAGUAGGGGACCAACCAGUAAAGCAUUGUACCAAUCAUGGGCUAAAUCAUUCUGAAUUUGUGAACUCACCUUAAGGAGUUCUCCUUUUAGGAUAUGUGUGGCUACCUGUGUGUGUUAUCUUUGGGAAAAAUAUAGUCCCCUGUGUAUGUGGGUGCCCACCAGGUUAAAUUCUUGGCAAAAAGAUCAUAAACUGGUACUGGUAAUGUGUUAAAUUGACAAGCUAAUUUAACAUCCUUUGAUGAUGUAUGAUAUAAUGUAAAAUAACAUGAGCAUGAAAAAUGUGAAACAUUACCAGUUAACCAUCCAUUGCAUUUACUGGAUUGGGGUUUUAGAAGUAACCAUUCAUUAUCUGUGAGGUUACGCAUUCCUCUAAUCUUCUCUAGUUUGGGAAUCAUUAGUGUGUUUUCUAAUGCCAAUCCUUGUUGUUGUAUCCAUAAAUACCUGAUGGCACAAGUACUCCAGUUACUUAGACCUGUAGUGAAUUUCAUAGUUGCAACAGUUAAAUUACCUAAAUUGUUAUACAUUGAUUUAUCUAAAUCCAAUCCUGUUACCUGUGAUUUAACAACAGUUGGAGCCCAGUUUGCAGUAGCAUGAAAACCAGUCCCUAUAUGCAUGCUGGCUGUGUUUAACUUAUUCUUGAGGGUCUCCAUAUCUAUAACUAUUUAGUAUACCCAUAGUGGUUCCAGCACCAUCUAACAGUGUGUCAUACCAUUCCCUUUUCUGCCUUUUGUUUGUUGUGUUACAUAAUGUUACAACAAGAGUAGUGAUUUUUAAUGACACAUGUACAGCUUGUAAGAAGGCAGUUGUAUUAACACAUGUGGAUGGAAUAGGUGUGUGUGUGUCGUGGUUGACUUUUGGUUCUAUGAUAGUGGAUGAAGGACAGUAAUAAGGUGUAAAAAUAUAAGGUAGUGUAUAGUUCUCAAUUGUAGUGUCGUUCAUAAUGACUAACAUUUGUCCCCUUCUCCAAUUAAUGAUACCAGUUAUAUAAUCAUUAUUAAAAGUAAUAAGGCCUGUCUGUUUACAUUGAUAUGCAACCUUAACUGUGCACAUUUCUGCGUUAUAAGAUCUAACAAUUUUCUGUGAACCUUUAAACAAACAUAAUGCAUCGGUUUCAUUAGCUGUAGACACAUUUCAUAUGGGUAACUGGUACUUAUAAGGGUUACUAUUUGUCCAAUUCAUCCAGAUGCGUUCAGUAAAUGAAUGAUUGCAUAUUACAUGCUGAUAGAAAGGUGGUGGAGAAAGGUUCUUGAGGGGGCGUGUGUGACGAAUGCUAGAUGAGGGGCUAAGGCCUAAUUGGGCUGGGGUAUUGAAGAAUUGUUCAUCAUGUCAGAGUCUUUUUCCAGAACUUGCCAUUGACUUGUACUCAUAAUGGCAUUCAAGGAACAAUAUCAGAGGGAGUAUAACAACUCCAGAAAGCAUAGCACACAACAUAAUCUUGGUCUCAGGUACGUAUGAUCCUCUCAAUCUACGAUAUGGUGUAAAAGCCAUGAUGCUUCGCUGAGGAGAAAUUCUUCUGUUUCCGAGCGAGGAGUGGUGUUGUCUUCCUUGGUUCCCCUCUUUGGACACAGCUUCACUCGGGAUGCGUGAAUCCAGAUGUCAUGGGAAUCUGUGAGGACAGCGGUUCUGGGUACAGCAAUCACAGUAGCAGGUGGUCCAAAAGGGUAUCCUCCUUUCUUGGUCCUGUUCAGCUGACGGAUAUACACCUUGUCACCGGGCUGGUAUGAAUGAGUAGGUUCCUGUGAAGGUAAGGGAAAACUGCGAAGAAACAUUGUCAUACAUACCAUUCAGUUUUAUCAACAACUCCUGUACAUAUUGUUCUUGUAUUAGCUGUAAAUCCCCAGACAUUAUAACAAGCAGUUCCCUGGCCUAGGGUGUGGGAAAAGGUCAUCCCAUCAAAAUCUCAAAUGGAGAUAAUUUAGUCACCUUGUGGGGAUUCAUUCUUAUCUCAGCUAAAAUAGUUGGUAGAUAUCUAGUCCAAUUUAC